rnacentral:rRNA from 1 species
UACGAAGGGGGCUAGCGUUGUUCGGAAUCACUGGGCGUAAAGCGCACGUAGGCGGAACGUUAAGUCCGGUCUGAAAGCCCCCGGCUCAACCGGGGAGGGUGGCUGGAAACUGGCGUUCUUGAGGGCGAGAGAGGAGGGUGGAAUUCCUGGUGUAGCGGUGAAAUGCGUAGAGAUCAGGAGGAACACCCGGGGCGAAGGCGGCCCUCUGGCUCGACCCUGACGCUGAGGCGCGAAAGCGUGGGGAGCGAACGGG